rnacentral:rRNA from 1 species
UACGGAGGGGGCGAGCGUUGUUCGGAAUUACUGGGCGUAAAGGGCGUGUAGGCGGCCUGUUAAGUUAGGUGUGAAAGACCAUGGCUCAACCAUGGAAUUGUGCUUAAAACUGGCGGGCUUGAGUAUAGGAGAGGAGAGUGGAAUUCCCAGUGUAGCGGUGAAAUGCGUAGAUAUUGGGAGGAACACCGGUGGCGAAGGCGGCUCUCUGGACUAAUACUGACGCUGAGGCGCGAAAGCCAGGGGAGCGAACGGGAUUAGAUACCCGCGUA